rnacentral:misc_RNA from 1 species
GAUGAAGAACGCAGCGAAAUGCGAUAAGUAAUGUGAAUUGCAGAAUUCAGUGAAUCAUCGAAUCUUUGAACGCACAUUGCGCCCGCUAGUAUUCUGGCGGGCAUGCCUGUCCGAGCGUCAUUUCAACCCUCAAGCCCCCGGGCUUGGUGUGGGGGAUCGGCGAGCCUCCGCGCCCGCCGUCCCCUAAAUCUAGUGGCGGUCUCGCUGUAGCUUCCUCUGCGUAGUAGCACACCUCGCACUGGGAAACAGCGCGGCCACGCCGUUAAACCCCCAACUUCUGAACGUUUGACCUCGGAUCAGGUAGGAAUACCCGCUGAACUUAAGCAUAUCAAUAAGCGGAGGA